rnacentral:rRNA from 1 species
CACGGAGGGUGCAAGCGUUAUUCGGAAUCACUGGGCGUAAAGAGCGCGUAGGCGGUCUCUUAAGUCAGAUGUGAAAGCCCGGGGCUUAACCCCGGAAGUGCAUUUGAAACUAAGGGACUUGAGUAUGGGAGAGGGAAGUGGAAUUCCUGGUGUAGCGGUGAAAUGCGUAGAUAUCAGGAGGAACACCGGUGGCGAUGGCGACUUCCUGGACCAAUACUGACGCUGAGGCGCGAAGGCGUGGGGGGCAAACAGG